CCCAACCAGAGCAAAGCUGGGGCUCACCUCAUAAUCCACGCCAUGGGGAGGAAUAAAGCCUGACAGGGACAGGAGAGACAGGGCUGGGCCUCCACGGCGCCAUGCCAGCACUAACCAGGAGAGCGAGGGCCAGCUCAAGGACCCACGCCCCACCACCCCGCUUCAGUGCUGUGCUGUUGUAUCCCUGGGGGCAGAGGAGGCUUCAAGUUGUUUUCUCCACUUACCAGCUGGAUGACUUAUGUUUAUGGCCUGCCUGACUCCAGAAGGAUUUUGAGGAAAGCUCUACUGCUUGUCCCCAUUACAGGGGAAGAAGAAAGAAGGACCGAUUAAAGGCAUCCCUUUUCUAUUGAUAGAAACAGAUGCAGUUUUUCCCACCAUGCACCAGGUAAUAUGUGGGGAACCAUUAAAUUUAAACCACGAUCAUUAGAGACUCCUCAAGUGGAGUUACCUGAAAUCAGAAAUUAAGUGGGAGCAACCUUAGUUCUGAAGUGAAUUUGUUUAUUGCAUGCAUUUCAAUAUAGUUUGGGAUAAAUUCUUAAAUGAAGAGAUAAUGCCUGGUAAGCUGUUUAAAUAUUUGAAUGCCAGUAAUGAAAUCAUAAUUAAAUCAAGUAAAAUUUAAUAGUAAAUGUCUAUCUAAUGUUGAUAUUCCCUCUUGAAUUCUUGGGAAUUUGAAUGGAUAAAAUUUUUUAUCUUACAAUUCUUGGGAUUUAGUUCAAUAUUUAUUUCAUUAUCAGUGCAGACUUACACAUACUAAGCAGUUUAAUGACAAUGGAUGCUGGAGUCUGAGUAAAG
rnacentral:lncRNA from 1 species